GAAUAUUGGACAAUGGGGGCAACCCUGAUCCAGCGACGCCGCGUGGGUGAAGAAGGCCUGCGGGUUGUAAAGCCCUUUCGGUGGGGAUAAAAAGCCUUGGUCUAACACACCAGGGUCUUGAUCUAACCCAAGCAAGAAGCCCCGGCUAACUUCGUGCCAGCAGCCGCGGUAAUACGAAGGGGGCUAGCGUUGUUCGGAUUUACUGGGCGUAAAGCGCGUGUAGGCGGACUUGUAAGUUGGGGGUGAAAUCCCGAGGCUCAACCUCGGAACUGCCUCCAAAACUACAAGUCUGGAGCAAGAUAGAGGCAAGUGGAAUUGCGAGUGUAGAGGUGAAAUUCGUAGAUAUUCGCAGGAACACCAGUGGCGAAGGCGACUUGCUGGAUCUUUGCUGACGCUGAGACGCGAAAGCGUGGGGAGCAAAC
rnacentral:rRNA from 1 species